rnacentral:lncRNA from 1 species
GGCUCCGUCCCCGGGAAAGGAGCUUCCGCCGGAAGUCCCGGGAAAUGGGAACUUGUCGUCCUACCUGGCGUCUCGAAGUCAAAAUUCUCAGAAGAAUUCCAAAAUACCUCAGAUUUGAGGAGAGAAGAGGAACAAAAUCUUGACAUUGAAAUACGAGGAGGGAAAGUGAAUGCUAUACUAUCUGAAGAUGAUCAUGGAGGCUUGAAAAUUGGCACAUGUUUGUCUCCAUGUUUAACUUAUUAAAAACUGAGUAAAUCAAAGAACUCCAGCCAUAAAGACAGAAUCAUGGGAAUUUGCUAGAAAUGCAAAUUUUCAGGUCACCCUAAGACCAUAUACCAGUUUUAAUAUCUAAUAUACUAAAUAUUAUAAUCUGUAUAUUCUGAGAAUGAGAGCAAAAUAGAUUAGCCUAUCAAACUAAUAUGUUUAUGAAUUCAAAUAAAGUUGAUUUUGAGAAA